rnacentral:lncRNA from 1 species
GACCCCCCAUUUUUCCCUAUUUUCUUUUCUUCUUCCUCUCUCCUCAAUCUCUCAUCACUCUCUCGUCUCUCUAUCUCGCCGGCCGGAAAUCGUCACCACCGGCGGAUGUCGUCCAAAGACCAUAAAAUUUACACCAUUCUUCUCCCCUCACUCUCCUCUUUUUGAUUCCAAACCUCAAAACUUUCAACCCCCCCCCCCCCCCAAAUCCGUAGAUCUAAUUGGCCGAAACCUUAGCCGCCGACGGACCACUUUCAAUCCACCCCAAAUUCACACCAUGACCUCCCCUCACUUCCCCAUUUCCAAAUCCAUGAACCAAAUCCCUUGAAUCCCUCCCAAACUCCACGAAUAAACCAAAAUCCGAAACCCUAGCCCACUUUAUUUUGUAAAUUCGUCGAGUUUUAGACCUCUCAUUCAUAAAAUACUUGCAUAGGCAUGUAGAGCUCCACAUGAUCUAUCAUCCUAUGUUGGUUUCACCCAAAAACUCCGACAGAAGUUCGGCCGGAUUCUGGCAACCACCGCCACUGCUGGCAACCACCACACCCCAAUGCCCCUAUUGUUUUAGCCUAUUCCGACCCAAAUACGUUCGCUUCUCUCUAGCACGAUGUUGGAACUCAUUGGAUUCAAAGUGUGGUAGAAAGAAACGCUCGUUUCAAGGUCGAUUUCCUCGUGUGGUAAAACCUUUAUCCAUUUCCCUCUUUUCUGAUUUUUUGUUCUGUUUAUUAAAACUAGGAUCAUAUUUUAGUUUCUGUCUCGUUUAAUCUCACGUAAUUGGGUAGUAUUCAAUUUCAAUUAGUUUCAGUUUUGCUUCAAUAUCGUUUAUAUCAUUUAUAGGUAAUUUUAAGUGUUGAUUUCGACUCAUGUAUAUUAGUUUGAAUUAUGCAUUUUGUUUCAAAGAUUAAGUCUUUUGGUUAAUGUGCACUCAUUUAGUCUUGUUUGUAUUAGUCGUGUUAUACGUUUUGAUUAGCAUAUCAUGGGAAACAUGAUCAGUUCUGUUAGUUUACCUUGUUUUUAUCUUUUCAUUUUUAACUAGAUGAUAUUUGCUAGAUUCAAAUCAUGUUUUGGUUUGGUUUGGGACUGGCAGUUGGUAGUUUGGUUGUUUCAUGUUGGUUCAGGACCACAAUUUGAUAGUUCGAUUGAUUAGCUUCUAGUUUUGUUUGUAAUUUCUUUUGUUAACUGAUUGAUAUAGGUUAUAUGAAGUUCAACUAGAUUGUUUAUUUGUGUUAAUUGAUCAUCGACAUCCGUGAUCUUGAUUCAUUCUGAAGUAUGGUAAAUUAGUUUAGUUGAGUAAUUCAAGUCAUAAGUUCAUUUGUUCUAAUACAUUGAUAAUCUAUAGGUUGAAUGCUUGAUGAUAGUCUGUGUUGAAAUGCUUAGCAUAUUAUCACUUCAAUAGUUAUGAGUGUAUUUUAGUAAGAUUUGAGUAAUAUGAGUCAUGUGUUUGGUUUGAACAUAGAAUCUAGUUUGAGAGAUUGAGAGGAAAGAAAAGAAAGGGAGAGUACUUGAAUAUAGGGUCCGUGUUUGGUUUCUUUCACUAUUGCGGACUGUUUUGGAGUAUAAUACUCCAAAUUUUUGUCCACAGUUGGUAAGACAAACUGUUCAUUGGACAGAUUUUUGGUUUUGGACAGAUUUUGGGUCAAAAAUCUAUCAUUUUGGAUAAUUUUUGGCUAAAACAAAAUCUGUCCCAAGAGUCCUUCUCUCCUCUUCUAUAAAGGUAAGAUCUUUCCAUAUCCUCUAGGACAUAGUCUGAAUAUCCUUUACACUCUAUCACACAUUUUGACAAGUUUUUACACACAUCUUUAGAGCUGUUUUAAAGACAAAAAAACUUAAGAGAAAAAAUAGCAGCUGAACAUAAAGAAAGUAAACUGAAAUUGUGAGUGAAUUUUUGAGUGCAAACUUUUAGAAAAAUAUAAGUCUUCUUUAGAGUUGGUUCUAGGUCUCUUCUCUAAGGUUUUCAGGUUGUUUUAACACUUAUUUGUUGCUGGAUUGUUGAUGUUUUUGGCUGCUUUUGUUGUUGAAUUUCAGCCCCUCUCCGUGCUGACAUUUUCUUUCUGGUAUCCAGGUAAUUCUCUUAAAAUGAUACUGCAAUUUUGAGUCAGGACUGAAUGGAGACGAAGCAAUUUGAAGUUUUCUUGUUUUCAGUUUAUUCUAAGCUUUAAAAGAAUUUUGUUCUCUUGUAAGGUUUUGUGUGUGAGUACAUAUGAUAAAUUUUGGAUUUCUCUGAAUAUUCCAGCUGACAACAUGCUUUAAACCUCUUUAGUUCAUAGUUGCUUUGUUAUUAUGACUCAUUGUCACCUUGGUUUCAUGAGAAAUUGCUAGUAAAGAUAGAAAUGUUAGUGAUACAUGUUCAGGUGCUUAAGUUGGUAGUUUUGAACUUUUUUUUGAGAUAAAGUCCUCAGAUACUCUGUCUUGACAAAUGCAUGACAAUACGGCUUUAUGAUCGUAUUUUGCUAAGUAUGAUUAGUUGUGGGAAUUCAUAAGCUAAAGUAACGUUCUCUCUUUUCUUUUGCUCAUUUUCAUGCAUUUAAUUUUCCUUUAUCUUUUGUUUGCUUAUGGUUACUUUAUUCUUUCAGUUUCUUUUAAUGUAGUAGUUAAUAGCGUUUAGUAUUAAUAGAGUGGGUCAUAAUACGAGAUUCAAG